rnacentral:ncRNA from 2 species
GACAUCCACUAGGGGCGCCUUUUUUGGGCUGAGACAGUUUAACUGAACCCUUAGAACCUGAUCUGGUUGAUACCAGCGGAGGAAAGUGGAGCACGGAUUAU